GGCAGAUGGAGAGGUUGAAUCCGUAAAAAACAACAAACAAACGAACAGCUGCCAAAAAAGAAGACCCCAGACUGACUCAGGGGCUUCCUUGCUGGCUCAGCUGGUGAAGAAUCCGCCUGCAGGGCAGGAGACUCCAGUUUGAUUCCUGGGUCGGGAAGACCCACUGGAGAAGGAAUAGGCUACCCACCCCAGUAUUCUUGGGCUUCCCUGGUGGCUCAGAUGGUCAAGAAUCUGCCAGCAAUGCAGGAGACCUGGGUUCGAUCACUGGGUUGGUAAGGUUCCCUGGAGAAGGGAAAGGCUACCCACUCCAGUGUUCUGGCCUGGAGAAUUCCAUGGACAGAGGAGCCUGGCGGGCUACAGUCUAUAGGGUAGGAAAGAGUCAGACACGACAGAGCUACUAACACUUCACUUUUCAGACUGACUCACCCCAAAUUCUACCAAACCUUUGGAGAAGAGUUCAUACCAGUUCUCCCCAAACUCUCCCCCAAAAUAAAAGACGAGCACCUCCCCACCCGUCGUGUGCAGCCACUAGGGCCCUGGUUCCCACGCCAGACGAGGACGCCGCUUUACACCUUGGCCGCCCUCCUCCUGCUUCUGGCUCUGUUCUGUAGGUUGUCUGAGUUCUCUCCGCUUGUUAAGGCCGUUUAAUUCUACAGGACUAUUCGAUUUCAAACACGAAAAUAUUCCACAGGCAAGUCUACUCUUUUCACUUUAUGUUCCAACACUUCCUCAUUUAUUUCAUACAAUUCUUUAAUUUUUAGCUCGUUAAUAAAAAGUGUCUCCUUUCUUUCUUUUGUAAUGGCAGUGGUGAGGUGGUUUAGUCGCUAAGUCGUGUCUGACUCUUUACAACCACAUGGAGUGCAGCCCGCCAGGCUCCACUGUCCAUGGGAUUCUCUAGGCAGGAACACUGGAGUAGGUUGCCAUUUCCUCUUCCAGGGGAUCUUCCCAGCCCAGGGAUGGAAUCUACACCCCCGACAUUGCAGGAGGAUUCUUCACCACUGAGCCGCCUGGGACGCCCCCAAGGACUCUGCCUCUGGAGAAAGGGCAUCCAUUCGGGGUGCUUGUGUCUGCCCUCCCUUCGCAGCUGUGAGCGUCUUGCUUGGUUGACACGAGCUGUGCGCCCUCCGGUUCCCACCACGGCAAGCCAUCCUUUCUCCCUUCGGAGGCAAGCGAAAAGGAGCAGAAUUCCGGCUUCACCAUCCCUGGUGACGAGCGGGCAGGGAGACUGUUCUCCUGAACCACGACCACCUCGUCACGGGUUGCCUCGCCCUCCCGUCACGGCUGGGCCAGCAGAGGCCAGGUGCCCCGAGUCCCCUCUCCUGGAUCCUCGGAGCGGGACGCUCCUCCAGGAAAGGACUUCCUCUCCCCACCGGCUGCGGGGACUGGGCGGCUGGCUGAUGGCUCGGCCCCCACUGACGGAGCUUUUCCAGUUUUGGAAAGUGGCGUGUGCCUCCUUGCCCAGGCAGACGGUAAUUUAUGCUGCGAAUUCAGGCCUGGGCGUGACGACUCAGUCCUUUCAGGCCCCUGAAAACCUGCUCCAGCCGCCAGCAGCACUGCCUCUGACCUGCCCUCGCCCACCGCCCUCGGCUCCCUGUCCCUGCCCGCCUCUCCCUCCAGGCCCCCACCUGCAGCCGCGCCAGCUGACGCCUGCCAGCACAGGGACGCGGUGACACCUUCUGCAGAGUUUUCGGCCAGAGCUGGACUCCUCUGAGCCCUUAACAAGCAGCCUGCUCUGUAACAAACCACAGGACAAAUAAUCGCUCCAGUGUGGCAGCCUGAGCUACUUAUUUUGCUUGAUUUAUGGGGAGUGAGACCCAAGGAUGCCGUGGGGCUUUUCAGACAUUGCUAAGUGUACGCUGACGCCCAGCGGGGUUGGGAAGGGGCUCAGUCUCCCAUACUCCAGCCGGGGCACAGGGCCUGGCAGCUGCAGGGAUGGAACGACGUGGGAAAGGGGGCAGGGAGGACCCCCCAG
ensembl:lncRNA